rnacentral:rRNA from 1 species
GAUGAACGCUGGCGGCGUGCCUAAUACAUGCAAGUCGAGCGAACAGACGAGGAGCUUGCUCCUUUGACGUUAGCGGCGGACGGGUGAGUAACACGUAGGUAACCUACCUAUAAGACUGGGAUAACUUCGGGAAACCGGAUCUAAUACCGGAUAAUAUUUCGAACCGCAUGGUUCGAUAGUGAAAUAUGGCUUUGCUAUCACUUAUAGAUGGACCUGCGCCGUAUUAGCUAGUUGGUAAGGUAACGGCUUACCAAGGCAACGAUACGUAGCCGACCUGAGAGGGUGAUCGGCCACACUGGAACUGAGACACGGUCCAGACUCCUACGGGAGGCAGCAGUAGGGAAUCUUCCGCAAUGGGCGAAAGCCUGACGGAGCAACGCCGCGUGAGUGAUGAAGGUCUUCGGAUCGUAAAACUCUGUUAUUAGGGAAGAACAAACGUGUAAGUAACUGUGCACGUCUUGACGGUACCUAAUCAGAAAGCCACGGCUAACUACGUG